ACCAGACUCCUACGGGAGGCAGCAGUGGGGAAUAUUGCACAAUGGGGGAAACCCUGAUGCAGCGACGCCGCGUGAGUGAAGAAGUAUUUCGGUAUGUAAAGCUCUAUCAGCAGGGAAGAAGAAGGACGGUACCUGAGUAAGAAGCCCCGGCUAACUACGUGCCAGCAGCCGCGGUAAUACGUAGGGGGCAAGCGUUAUCCGGAUUUACUGGGUGUAAAGGGGGCGCAGACGGCGAUGCAAGCCAGGAGUGAAAGCCCGGGGCCCAACCCCGGGACUGCUCUUGGAACUGCGUGGCUGGAGUGCAGGAGGGGCAGGCGGAAUUCCUGGUGUAGCGGUGAAAUGCGUAGAUAUUAGGAGGAACACCAGUGGCGAAGGCGGCCUGCUGGACGGUGACUGACGCUGAGGCUCGAAAGCGUGGGGAGCAAACAGGAUUAGAUACCCGAGUAA
rnacentral:rRNA from 1 species